AACACUGCUGGGGAGACUCACUGGUGCUGAGCUCUUUGCCCUGAGUAAAGAGGACCUGCGUAUGUUUUCACCAGAGGAGGGUGCCAGAGUGUACAGCCAGAUGAUGGUGCAGAAGGCUUUACUGGAGGAUGUCCACAAAUCUACAGAGCUGGAGACAAUGAUGGAGAAACAGAAACAGAAAGCGGACUUCCAGCUGGAGAGCAGGAGGCUGUGACCAAGAACAAGCUAUACACAUGUAUAUCACUGAUACACAGAUAUCACUGGUUGAUGGACACCAACACAAUAACAUCACUGUCACUGAUUAAGAGGACACACACACUCAAUAACAUUGUCUGUAUGGAGAUUCUGAUACAGAGAUUUCCCUUUUAAAGGGUAGUUCACCCAAACUAUAAAAUUACUUGGCUUUCUUAAGGCAUCCGCAUGCUUCCCAGCCAAAACAGUUCGGAAGAGUUUGUGCAUAUAUUAUGAUGACAUUUUGUGACGUUGUUUGUUUUCGACGUUAGUGAAGGUUUUUUAGGCUGUUCAGGCAUAACAUUUUUCUGGAUGCAAGCAGAAGUUUUGAGCCGAAGUCUACGCCUCUUCGUUGGUGAUUGGUCAACAGUAGGGAUUUUUCAAUAAAGUCUUUGUUGUCAUUCAAUGAGAGAUGACUUACUUUCA